UACGUAGGGUGCAAGCGUUAAUCGGAAUUACUGGGCGUAAAGCGUGCGCAGGCGGUGAUGUAAGACAGUUGUGAAAUCCCCGGGCUCAACCUGGGAACUGCAUCUGUGACUGGAUGACUAGAGUACGGCAGAGGGGGAUGGAAUUCCGCGUGUAGCAGUGAAAUGCGUAGAUAUGCGGAGGAACACCGAUGGCGAAGGCAAUCCCCUGGGCCUGUACUGACGCUCAUGCACGAAAGCGUGGGGAGCAAACAGG
rnacentral:rRNA from 1 species